ACGCAGCGACGCCGCGUGAGGAAUGAAGGUUUUCGGAUCGUAAACCUCUGUCAGAAGGGAAGAAACCGCACCGUGCUAAUCAGCGGUGCCUUGACGGUACCUUCAAAGGAAGCACCGGCUAACUCCGUGCCAGCAGCCGCGGUAAUACGGAGGGUGCAAGCGUUACUCGGAAUCACUGGGCGUAAAGAGCACGUAGGCGGCCUUGCAAGUCAGAUGUGAAAUCCAACGGCUUAACCGUUGAACUGCAUUUGAAACUGCAAGGCUAGAGUAUGGGAGAGGUAGGUGGAAUUCUCGGUGUAGGGGUAAAAUCCGUAGAGAUCGAGAGGAAUACUCAUUGCGAAGGCGACCUGCUGGAACAUUACUGACGCUGAGGUGCGAAAGCGUGGGGAGCAAACA
rnacentral:rRNA from 1 species